AGAGUUUGAUCAUGGCUCAGGACGAACGCUGGCGGCGCGCUUAACACAUGCAAGUCGAGCGAGAACCGAGGCUUCGGCCUCGGGGACAGCGGCGAACGGGUGAGUAACACGUGGAUAACCUGCCCUCGGCACCGGGAUAGCCCGAGGAAACUCGGAUUAAUACCGGAUAGCCCUUUCGACUUUUCGAGUCGGUCGGAAAAGGUAGCUUCGGCCUCUGGCCGAGGAUGGGUCCGCGGCGGAUUAGCUUGUUGGUGGGGUAAUGGCCUACCAAGGCUUCGAUCCGUAGCUGGUCUGAGAGGACGAUCAGCCACACUGGGACUGAGACACGGCCCAGACUCCUACGGGAGGCAGCAGUGGGGAAUCUUGCGCAAUGGGCGAAAGCCUGACGCAGCGACGCCGCGUGAGGGAAGAAGGCCUUCGGGUUGUAAACCUCUUUCAGCAGGGACGAAGCUACUCGGGUUAAUAGCCCAGAGGGUGACGGUACCUGCAGAAGAGC
rnacentral:rRNA from 1 species